GUGGGGAAUCUUCCGCAAUGGGCGAAAGCCUGACGGAGCAAUGCCGCGUGAGUGAAGAAGGCCUUCGGGUUGUAAAACUCUGUCCUAAGGGAAGAAAGUGCUUUAGGUGAAUAAUCUAGGGUAGUGACGGUACCUUAGGAGGAAGCCCCGGCUAACUACGUGCCAGCAGCCGCGGUAAUACGUAGGGGGCGAGCGUUGUCCGGAAUUACUGGGCGUAAAGCGCGCGUAGGCGGGUUAUUAAGUCAGAUGUGAAAACUCUGGGCUCAACCGAGAGGUUGCAUCUGAUACUGGUAAUCUUGAGUGUAGAAGAGGAGAGUGGAAUUCCUAGUGUAGCGGUGAAAUGCGUAGAUAUUAGGAGGAACACCAGUGGCGAAGGCGACUCUCUGGUCUAUAACUGACGCUGAGGCGCGAAAGCGUGGGGAGCAAACAGGAUUAGAAACCCUAGUAGUCC
rnacentral:rRNA from 1 species